rfam:Felis catus isolate Cinnamon breed Abyssinian chromosome C2, whole genome shotgun sequence.
GCCUGGGUGGCUCAGUCAGUUAAGCAUCUGAUUUCAGCUCAGGUCAUGAGCUCACAGUCCGUGAGUUCGAGCCCCGCGUCAGGCU